rnacentral:rRNA from 1 species
GACGAACGCUGGCGGCGUGCUUAACACAUGCAAGUCGAACGGUAAGGCCCUUCGGGGUACACGAGUGGCGAACGGGUGAGUAACACGUGGGUGAUCUGCCCUGCACUUCGGGAUAAGCCUGGGAAACUGGGUCUAAUACCGGAUAGGACCACUGCCUGCAUGGGGGGUGGUGGAAAGCUUUUUCGGUGUGGGAUGGGCCCGCGGCCUAGCAGCUUGUUGGUGGGGUGAUGGCCUACCAAGGCGACGACGGGUAGCCGGCCUGAGAGGGUGACCGGCCACACUGGGACUGAGAUACGGCCCAGACUCCUACGGGAGGCAGCAGUGGGGAAUAUUGCACAAUGGGCGCAAGCCUGAUGCAGCGACGCCGCGUGAGGGAUGACGGCCUUCGGGUUGUAAACCUCUUUCAGCACCGACGAAGCGCAAGUGACGGUAGGUGCAGAAGAAGGACCGGCCAACUACGUGCCAGCCGCCGCCGUAA